rnacentral:rRNA from 1 species
AACGAACGCUGGCGGCAGGCUUAACACAUGCAAGUCGAACGCCCCGCAAGGGGAGUGGCAGACGGGUGAGUAACGCGUGGGAAUCUACCCAGUUCUACGGAAUAACCCAGGGAAACUUGGACUAAUACCGUAUACGUCCUACGGGGGAAAGAUUUAUCGGAAUUGGAUGAGCCCGCGUUGGAUUAGCUAGUUGGUGGGGUAAUGGCCUACCAAGGCGACGAUCCAUAGCUGGUCUGAGAGGAUGAUCAGCCAUACUGGGACUGAGACACGGCCCAGACUCCUACGGGAGGCAGCAGUGGGGAAUAUUGGACAAUGGGCGCAAGCCUGAUCCAGCCAUGCCGCGUGAGUGAUGAAGGCCUUAGGGUUGUAAAGCUCUUUCAGUGGGGACGAUAAUGACGGUACCCACAGAAGAAGCCCCGGCUAACUUCGUGCCAGCCGCCGCAGUAAUAC